UUAAUAACAGAACCUUAUGUAUGUUAACUCUUUAUGCCUUUUUAAUAAUGCUAUUAUUAAGAUCCAAUAACAGCCCUAUGGGCCCUGAUCAAAGGUAGUGCACUUUUGAAACAUAUGUGUCUGAGGCUCAGGUUACAGCUGGAACGUAGUGUCUGGGGAUCAGGUUACAGCUGGAACAUAGUGUCUGGGGAUCAGGUUACAGCUGGAACGUAGUGUCUGGGGAUCAGGUUACAGCUGGAACAUAGUGUCUGGGGAUCAGGUUACAGCUGGAACGUAGUGUCUGGGGAUCAGGUUACAGCUGGAACGUAGUGUCUGGGGAUCAGGUUACAGCUGGAACGUAGUGUCUGGGGAUCAGGUUACAGCUGGAACGUAGUGUCUGGGGAUCAGGUUACAGCUGGAACGUAGUGUCUGGGGAUCAGGUUACAGCUGGAACGUAGUGUCUGGGGAUCAGGUUACAGCUGGAACGUAGUGUCUGGGGAUCAGGUUACAGCUGGAACGUAGUGUCUGGGGAUCAGGUUACAGCUGGAACGUAGUGUCUGGGGAUCAGGUUACAGCUGGAACGUAGUGUCUGGGGAUCAGGUUACAGCUGGAACAUAGUGUCUGGGGAUCAGGUUACAGCUGGAACGUAGUGUCUGGGGAUCAGGUUACAGCUGGAACGUAGUGUCUGGGGAUCAGGUUACAGCUGGAACAUAGUGUCUGGGGAUCAGGUUACAGCUGGAACAUAGUGUCUGGGGAUCAGGUUACAGCUGGAACAUAGUGUCUGGGGAUCAGGUUACAGCUGGAACAUAGUGUCUGGGGAUCAGGUUACAGCUGGAACGUAGUGUCUGGGGAUCAGGUUACAGCUGGAACAUAGUGUCUGGGGAUCAGGUUACAGCUGGAACGUAGUGUCUGGGGAUCAGGUUACAGCUGGAACGUGAUUUUAUUUGUCACAUACACAUGGUUAGCAGAUGUUAAUGCGAGUGUAGCGAAAUGCUUGUGCUUCUAGUUCCGACAAUGCAGUAAUAACCAACGAGUAAUCUAACCUAACAUUUCCACAACAACUACCUUAUACAUACAAGUGUAAAGGGAUGAAGAAUAUGUACAUAAUGAUAUAUGAAUGAGUGAUGGUACAGAACGGCAUAAGCAAGAUGCAGUAGAUGGUAUCGAGUACAGUAUAUACAUAUGAGAUGAGUAAUGUAGGGUAUGUAAACAUUAUAUUCAAUGGCAGUGAUACAUUUAUUACAUAAAGAUGGCAAGAUGCAGUGGAUGGUAUAGAGUACAGUAUAUACAUAUGAGAUGAGUAAUGUAGGCUAUGUAAACAUUAUAUUAAAUGGCAUUGUU